rnacentral:rRNA from 1 species
CUACGGGCGGCAGCAGUGAGGAAUAUUGCACAAUGGGGGGAACCCUGAUGCAGCAACGCCGCGUGGAGGAUGACGCAUUUCGGUGUGUAAACUCCUUUUAUAUGUCAAGAAAAUGACGGUAGCAUAUGAAUAAGCACCGGCUAACUCCGUGCCAGCAGCCGCGGGUAAUACGGAGGGUGCAAGCGUUACUCGGAAUCACUGGGCGUAAAGGACGCGUAGGCGGGUUGGAAAGUCAGGCGUGAAAUCCUACAGCUUAACUGUAGAACUGCACUUGAAACUUCUAAUCUAGAGUAUGGGAGGGGGAGAUGGAAUUAGUGGUGUAGGGGUAAAAUCCGUAGAUAUCACUAGGAAUACCUAAAGCGAAGGCGAUCUCCUGGAACAUUACUGACGCUAAGGCGUGAAAGCGUGGGGAGCAAACAGGAUUAGAUACCCUAGUAGUC